rnacentral:rRNA from 1 species
GAGAAGCGAACCUGCGAAGGCAAGCGGAUCUCUUAAAGCCGUUCUCAGUUCGGACUGUAGGCUGCAACUCGCCUACACGAAGCUGGAAUCGCUAGUAAUCGCGGAUCAGCACGCCGCGGUGAAUACGUUCCCGGGCCUUGUACACACCGCCCGUCACACCAUGAGAGUUUGUAACACCCAAAGCCGGUGGGAUAACCUUUAUAGGAGUCAGCCGUCUAAGGUAGGACAGAUGAUUAGGGUGAAGUCGUAACAAGGUAAC